UGCUUUCCUGACAAUAUGAUUCUUGAAGGCCUUAUGCGCUUUGACUUUGUCAUACCAUAAAUAUGCAUGCCACCCAAACACAUUAUCGAAACCUUCUAAAUCUAAAAUGUCCACAUUUUCAAGAAGUAGCCAAUCUUUCAGCCAACAAAAAGCGGCUGAUUCAUAGUAAAGUUUAAGAUCUGGCAGGGCAAAUCCCCCUCUUUCCUUUGCAUCUGUUAGUAUCUUAAAUUUUAUUCUGGGCUUUUUGCCCU